AUUACACCACUCCGCGAGUAAUCCUACCGACUGAUUGGUCCCCGUCACAAUCACGCAACGAGCUGCCAUAUUAUAAUAAUAUAAUAUCAAACCAGAUUCUUUGGACUCAUUUUUAUUAUUUUUCCCUAGUUAUUUCUCUAAAUUAUUUUCUAUUUAAUGAAAAUUAAAGAUAUGAAAUAUACUUGUAAUCUAGUCAUUAUUAAACACUUUUAAAAAUUUAAAAAAUCUACUUGUUUAUAUUAGGUUGUACAGAUAAAAUGAGGUAUUUAGGUUGUUGGUGAGAACUAGGAUGGUCUUGCAAGUUUCAUGAACUGCCAUGUUUAAAAGUUAAGAUAAGCAGUCUUAUUAAAAGUACAAUCUAAUAUAAUAAAACUUGGUAAAAUCAUUUUUAUAAUUUGUCAGCUGGAGUUGAAAUCAUACUUGGUUACAAUAGUUACAUUUGAAUUCACCCAUAAACACUCAGAAAAAUCCUGUUGAAUUUGACAUUUAUCUUAACAAGUUGUUGAUAUUGAUAAUGGUCAAAUAAUAUCAAGAGUGCGUAAUAUAGUGCAUGGCUUAAGAUGAACAGGUUACGAAACACAGCUGUGAUUAUUGAGGCUCUAGUCUGACAACCUAGCGCUCCAUGCGGUACUAUUUAACUUUAUUUAUAUUUUUCCUUGGACCAUGAUACUUUUUGAAUUUUGCGGCAAUUUCUGAAUUCUGACAUGUAUUUUAGUUUCAACUAACCUGGUAAAGAACACAAUAUUUUAAGAUUUUUAUGAGAUUUGUUUUGAUUUUUUACAUAAAUAAACAAUUAUAAUACAUAAAUAUAACACGGAUAAUAUAAAACAUUUAUUAACACAUUUUUUAAACAUUUAUUAACCUAACUAUAUACAAGUUUAGAAAGUUUCUUUUUGGCUCUAUUAAUUUAAUUUAAUUUUUGAUUUUCAAUAUAUGUAAAUUGCCUCAUGCGCAUUGUUAUAUACAUGGUGAAAAUAUCUGUAAUCAUUUCACUUUUGUGAAUAGAACAUGAAAAUGUCAGGCUUGUCACAUGAUGAAAAAAUUCAUUAUAAGUAUUUUCAAAAACAUCACCAGCACUUGCAUGUUUACAAAAGCAAGUUUCCAAUACUUUUAAUAUUUUGUAAAAGUUACCACUAGGAUGAGUUAAAAAUCCUUUACUUUUUAAAUUUACCAACUCUGAUUCCAUACCUAAGUUACCAUCAUUCUUUAAAUUUUUUAAACAUACUUCACACUUAGAUUUUUUGCACAGUCAUCUAGCUAAGUACCUGCAGAUUUAAUUAAAAAUUUAUUAGAAAUUUAUGUAAGAAAUAAUAUUAAAUCAUCUUUACUCUCCUAAAUAGUAAACCACACAUUCAAAAACUGAACUUUUUGUAUAAUCGUCAGGGCUGCUACCGUUACUAAAAUUUAAAAAAGUGAGAAAAGUGACAUUUUUUGGGAAAAAAGUGACUAAUUUUUCUAUAAAAAGUGACUAGAUUUUUUUCACAAAAUAUCAUAUUAUCACUUAAUUGGAUACCAGAUUUAAAAUUGAACGAUUAAAAUAAAUUAAAAUGGUAUGUUCAACUUCAAUAUAUUACUUUGAUUACAAGUUUCUGAUAGGUACCUACCUAGUUUUUUUCUACCUAGCUAAGUCCCUGCU